CCUACGGGAGGCAGCAGUGAGGAAUAUUGGUCCAUGGGCGGAAGCCUGAACCAGCCAAGUCGCGUGAGGGAAUAAGGCCCUACGGGUCGUAAACCUCUUUUGCCGGGGAGCACGGGCGGGGACGUGUCCCGGCCCGGAGAGUACCCGGAGACAAAGCAUCGGCUAACUCCGUGCCAGCAGCCGCGGUAAUACGGAGGAUGCGGUGGUUAUCCGGCUUUAUUGGGUUUCAAGGGUGCUUAGGCGGGCUUUUAAGUCAGAGGUAAAAAUUAGGGGCUCAACCCCGUCCGGCCGUUGAAACUGGGGGCUUUGAGUGGUCUAGAAGAAGGCGGAAUGCGUGGUGUAGCUGUGAAAUGCAGAGAUAUCACGCAGAACCCCGAUUGCGAAGGCAGCCUUCCGGCGCCCUACUGACGCUGAGGCACGAAAGUGCGGGGAUCGAACAGGAUUAGAUACCCUUGGAGUC
rnacentral:rRNA from 1 species